CCUACGGGUGGCAGCAGUGAGGAAUAUUGGUCAAUGGGCGCGAGACUGAACCAGCCAAGUCGCGUGAGGGAUGACUGCCCUACGGGUUGUAAACUUCUUUUAUAAGGGAAUAAAGUGAGGCACGUGUGCCUUUUUGUAUGUACCUUAUGAAUAAGCAUCGGCUAACUCCGUGCCAGCAGCCGCGGUAAUACGGAGGAUCCGAGCGUUAUCCGGAUUUAUUGGGUUUAAAGGGUGCGUAGACGGGUUGUUAAGUCAGUUGUGAAAGUUUGCGGCUCAACCGUAAAAGUGCAAUUGAUACUGGCAGUCUUGAGGACAGGUGAGGUAGGCGGAAUGCGUGGUGUAGCGGUGAAAUGCUUAGAUAUCACGAAGAACUCCGAUUGCGAAGGCAGCUUACUAAACUGCCACUGACGUUGAUGCUCGAAAGUGUGGGUAUCAAACAGGAUUAGAUACCCGGGUAGUC
rnacentral:rRNA from 1 species